rnacentral:rRNA from 1 species
GACGAACGCUGGCGGCGUGCUUAACACAUGCAAGUCGAACGGAAAGGCCCAGCUUGCUGGGUACUCGAGUGGCGAACGGGUGAGUAACACGUGGGUGAUCUGCCCUUGACUCUGGGAUAAGCCUGGGAAACUGGGUCUAAUACCGGAUAUGACCUUACAUCGCAUGGUGUUUGGUGGAAAGCUUUUGCGGUUCAGGAUGGGCCCGCGGCCUAUCAGCUUGUUGGUGGGGUAAUGGCCUACCAAGGCGACGACGGGUAGCCGACCUGAGAGGGUGAUCGGCCACACUGGGACUGAGACACGGCCCAGACUCCUACGGGAGGCAGCAGUGGGGAAUAUUGCACAAUGGGCGCAAGCCUGAUGCAGCGACGCCGCGUGAGGGAUGACGGCCUUCGGGUUGUAAACCUCUUUCACCAGGGACGAAGCGUGAGUGACGGUACCUGGAGAAGAAGCACCGGCCAACUACGU